GUCUGUAGCCAUACCACCCUGAACAUGACCAAUCUCAUAUGAUCUUGGAAGCUAAGCAGAGUUGGGCCUGGUUAGUACUUGGAUGGGAGACCACCUGGGAAUACCGGGUGCUGUAGACU
rnacentral:rRNA from 1 species